AUUGAACGCUGGCGGCAGGCCUAACACAUGCAAGUCGAGCGGAUGACAGGAGCUUGCUCCUGAAUUCAGCGGCGGACGGGUGAGUAAUGCCUAGGAAUCUGCCUGGUAGUGGGGGACAACGUUUCGAAAGGAACGCUAAUACCGCAUACGUCCUACGGGAGAAAGCAGGGGACCUUCGGGCCUUGCGCUAUCAGAUGAGCCUAGGUCGGAUUAGCUAGUUGGUGAGGUAAUGGCUCACUAAGGCGACGAUCCGUAACUGGUCUGAGAGAUGAUCAGUCACACUGGAACUGAGACACGGUCCAGACUCCUACGGAGGCGGCGGUGGGGAAUAUUGGACGAUGGGCGAAAGCCUGAUCCAGCCAUGCCGCGUGUGUAAGAAGCUCUUCGGAUUGUAAAGC
rnacentral:rRNA from 1 species